GGAUGAUGUGAUGAUUUGGUUAAUUUCCCUAUUGGUUUGAUCACCGGGAUGAUGGUGUCUAUUGUAUUAGCUCUAUCUGAUCAUUC